rnacentral:rRNA from 1 species
GACGAACGCUGGCGGCGUGCUUAACACAUGCAAGUCGAACGGAAAGGCCUUUUCGGCGGUACUCGAGUGGCGAACGGGUGAGUAACACGUGGGUGAUCUGCCCUGCACUCUGGGAUAAGCCUGGGAAACUGGGUCUAAUACCGGAUAGGACCGCACUUUAGUGUGUGUGGUGGAAAGUUUUUUCGGUGUAGGAUGAGCCCGCGGCCUAUCAGCUUGUUGGUGGGGUAAUGGCCUACCAAGGCGGCGACGGGUAGCCGGACUGAGAGGUUGGUCGGCCACAUUGGGACUGAGAGACGGCCCAGACUCCGACGGGUGGCAGCAGUGGGGAAGAUUGAACAAGGGGCGCAAGCCUGAUGCAGCGACGCCGCGUGGGGGAUGACGGCCUUCGGGUUGUAAACUCCUUUCGCCAGGGACGAAGCGUUUUGUGACGGUACCUGGAGAAGAAGCACCGGCUAACUACGUG